UCCGAUUAGUUCCGGGUUCGAGUCCCGGGCAACCC
rnacentral:tRNA from 2 species